GACCGCCACCAGAAUGAAUUCACGUCGUCGUUCGGUCAUUUUAGUCAUUUUGGAAGCACAAUUCCUUUCCGUCAUUUGUAUUUGGAACGUCGCAGCAGAAAGAAGGUCGUCAAAAAGCAUUAUUGGCAAAAAUAUUUUCGGCAUUUAGGCAAAGCAUAAAAAACAAAAAGAAAAAACGAAACGCAAAUAAAAGUUGAAAUAUGCAUUAACGUGUCCGUCGUUGCCGCCGCCGUCGUUCAUUGUUUUUUUUUCCUCUGUUGUGUUUGUUCGUAAAUAGUUUUAUUUUCAAUUUUCGAGAAACCGCAAAGUGAUCUUGAUCUGCUGUUGCUGCUUCUGCACUCGUUCGUUCGUUCCUAAACUGACAAACAAUUGCAUGCAAAAUUGAAAUAUCUUGUUAUUUUAAUUUUUACAUAAUUUUAACAAAACGACAAAAGCAAAAAUAAAAAAAAAAAACCGCAUGUAUAAUUCAGAAGACGCUCGCUGCAAAGUCAAAAAAACAAAUGCAAAAUACAAAGUCAAAGCAGAAAUAACAAACACAAAAAAGUUUUUUUAAACACGCUCUGACAUCAUCUGAGCAAAAAAAGAAAAAGAAAUAAAUUACAACAAACAGCGGCAGCAACAAAAACAACUACAAUUUCAAUCGGCAAAGUUUUCACCUAAUUCGGCCAAUCACACAGUUUUUUUUUCUCGAUUUCGGACGACAGCAAAAAGUUUUUCUUUGAAAUUCACUUU